GACGAACGCUGGCGGCGUGCUUAACACAUGCAAGUCGAACGGAAAGGCCCUGCUUUUGUGGUUUUCUCGAGUGGCGAACGGGUGAGUAACACGUGAGUACCCUGCCCUUGCCUUUGGGAUAACUUCAGGAAACUGGGGCUCAUACCGGAUAUGAGCUCCUGCUGCAUGGUGUGUGUUGGAAAGUUUCGGCGGUUGGGGAUGGACUCGCGGCUUAUCAGCUUGUUGGUGGGGUAGUGGCUUACCAAGGCUUUGACGGGUAGCCGGACUGAGAGGGUGACCGGCCACAGUGGGACUGAGAUACGGCCCAGACUCAUACGGGAGGCAGCAGUGGGGAAUAUUGCACAAUGGGCGGAAGCCGGAUGCAGCAACGCCGCGUGCGGGAUGACGGCCUUCGGGGUGUAAACCGCUUUCGCCGGUGAAGAAGCGGGAGUGACGGUAAUGGGUAAAGAAGCACCGGCUAACUACGUG
rnacentral:rRNA from 1 species